rnacentral:lncRNA from 1 species
AUUAGAAUUAAAUUAAUGUGGUUGACUAAUCCUGCCAGUUAAAACUCUGCAGGUACAAUGUAGUUUUGAUGUUGCAGAACAUGGAUCUUGUUAUGGUGCACGGGGAAAAGCUGCUGAUAUUUGUGAUCUACCCUGUUUUUGAAAGUUAUAUAAAGGUUCAUCAUUCAAAUGAUCUUAGUCAUCUACUGCAAAUGGAGAAACUAUUCUGUGUCUCUACUGUCAGAACUGCUUCUGAAGUUUUUUGCUCAUAUUUUUGUUCUCUUGAAGGCAGGCUUUCAGAGGUGCAAAGUGCAGAGGCACUGUGUGUUCCAGUGGUUCAAAGACUGAUCCUAAAUACCGAAAGAAAUUAG